rnacentral:rRNA from 1 species
AUUGAACGCUGGCGGCAUGCCUAACACAUGCAAGUCGAGCGCGCAGACGACGGGCGAGCAAUGUCGGGAAAACUGCCUGACGGAGGGGGAAAACUACUGGAAACGAUCGCUAAUACCGCUCACUACGCGAUGAGGCCAGGUGGGUAUAGCUAGUAGGUGGGGUAAUGGCCCACCUAGGCGACGAUCCCUAGCUGGGCUGAGAGGGUGACCGGCCACACUGGAACUGAGACACGGUCCAGACUCCUACGGGAGGCAGCAUUGGGGAAUAUUGCGCAAUGGGCGCAAGCCUGAUGGAGCCAUGCCGCGUGGGUGAAGGAGGCCUUCGGGUUGUAAAGUACUUUCAGCGGGGAGGCGUUACCCGCAGAGGAAGCACCGGCGAACUCCGUGCCAGCAGCCGCGGUAAUAC